ACUUACAAUGCGGGCAACAUUGAUAAGGGAACAUCGAGUGCCUGUAUAUGCAGCCUGUCCAGGUUUUUAAAACACACCUGAAGCAAGGGCCGGGCAAGACCGGUGCCAGCCGCCGCGGUAAUACCGGCGGCUCGAGUGGUGGCCACUUUUAUUGGGCUUAAAGCGUUCGUAGUCUGGGUCGUUAAGUCUCUUGGGAAAUCCGGCAGCUCAACUGUCGGGCGUCUAAGAGAUACUGACGAUCUUGGAACCGGGAGAGGUGAGGGGUACUUCGGGGGUAGGA
rnacentral:rRNA from 1 species